UACGUAGGGUGCAAGCGUUGUCCGGAAUUAUUGGGCGUAAAAGAGCUCGUAGGCGGUUUUGUUGCGUCGGCUGUGAAAUCCCGAGGCUCAAACCUCGGGUCUGCAGUCGAUACGAGCAAACUAGAGUGUUUGCAGGGGGAGACUGGAAUUCCUGGUGUAGCGGUGAAAUGCGCAGAUAUCAGGAGGAACACCGGUGGCGAAGGCGGGGUCUCUGGGCAGUAACUGACGCUGAGGAGCGAAAGCGUGGGGAGCGAACAGG
rnacentral:rRNA from 1 species